rnacentral:rRNA from 1 species
GACGAACGCUGGCGGCGUGCCUAAUACAUGCAAGUCGAGCGGACUUACAAAGCUUGCUUUUUAAGUUAGCGGCGGACGGGUGAGUAACACGUGGGCAACCUGCCUGUAAGACUGGGAUAACUUCGGGAAACCGGAGCUAAUACCGGAUAAUCCUUUUCUACUCAUGUAGAAAAGCUGAAAGACGGUUUACGCUGUCACUUACAGAUGGGCCCGCGGCGCAUUAGCUAGUUGGUGAGGUAACGGCUCACCAAGGCGACGAUGCGUAGCCGACCUGAGAGGGAGAUCGGCCACACUGGGACUGAGACACGGCCCAGACUCCUACGGGAGGCAGCAGUAGGGAAUCUUCCGCAAUGGACGAAAGUCUGACGGAGCAACGCCGCGUGAGUGAUGAAGGUUUUCGGAUCGUAAAACUCUGUUGUUAGGGAAGAACAAGUACGAGAGUAACUGCUCGUACCUUGACGGUACCUAACCAGAAAGCCACGGCUAACUACGUG